rnacentral:rRNA from 1 species
UACGGAGGGGGCUAGCGUUGUUCGGAAUUACUGGGCGUAAAGCGCACGUAGGCGGCUCAGUAAGUUAGGGGUGAAAGCCCAGGGCUCAACCCUGGAACUGCCUUUAAUACUGCUGGUCUGGAGUCCGAGAGAGGUGAGUGGAAUUCCGGGUGUAGAGGUGAAAUUCGUAGAUAUUCGGAGGAACACCAAUUGCGAAGGCAGCUCGCUGGGACGUCACUGACGCUGAGACGCGAAAGCGUGGGGAGCAAACAGG